rnacentral:rRNA from 1 species
CUACGGGUCGCUGCAGUGGGGAAUAUUGCACAAUGGGCGCAAGCCUGAUGCAGCCAUGCCGCGUGUAUGAAGAAGGCCUUCGGGUGGUAAAGUACUUUCAGCGGGGAGGAAGGGAGUAAAGUUAAUACCUUUGCUCAUUGACGUUACCCGCAGAAGAAGCACCGGCUAACUCCGUGCCAGCAGCCGCGGUAAUACGGAGGGUGCAAGCGUUAAUCGGAAUUACUGGGCGUAAAGCGCACGCAGGCGGUUUGUUAAGUCAGAUGUGAAAUCCCCGGGCUCAACCUGGGAACUGCAUCUGAUACUGGCAAGCUUGAGUCUCGUAGAGGGGGGUAGAAUUCCAGGUGUAGCGGUGAAAUGCGUAGAGAUCUGGAGGAAUACCGGUGGCGAAGGCGGCCCCCUGGACGAAGACUGACGCUCAGGUGCGAAAGCGUGGGGAGCAAACAGGAUUAGAUACCCUAGUAGUC